CGGCAGUUCGGUGCUAUAAUGCAGUCGAGCGCGACAGAUGGGAGCUUGCUCCCUGAUGUUAGCGGCGGACGGGUGAUUAACACGUGGGUAACCUGCCUGUAAGACUGGGAUAACUCCGGGAAACCGGGGCUAAUACCGGAUGGUUG
rnacentral:rRNA from 1 species